rnacentral:tRNA from 1 species
UUCGGGGUUGGAUGGGGACGCAUCGCUUGACCUGGCUAGACGACGAUCGCGGUUCAGCCGCGAUCCUGGGA